UAAGAGGGUAUUCGAAUUUUGUUGCAGUUAAAAAGCUCGUAGUUGAAAUGGGUCGUUUGCUGAACAGUCUCUUACAGAGCGGGAUGCAAACGCGGGUCCAAUCGGGCCUUUGAAACUUUGAGAAAAAUUGAGUGUUUCAGGCGGGCCAGCGCUUGAAUCGUGUACCAUGGAAUUUCAUAGUGGCAGGUCAUCUCUUUCCUUGGGUUUUGGGUGACACUGUGCGUGAUUGAUAGGAACUGUCGGGGGCAUUCGUACUGAACAGUCAGAGGUGAAAUUCUUAGAUUUGUUCAAGACGAACCAAUGCGAAAGCAUCUGCCCAGGAUGUUUUCAUUAA
rnacentral:rRNA from 1 species